UACGUAGGGGACGAGCGUUGUCCGGAAUUACUGGGCGUAAAGGGCGCGCAGGCUGUAGAUCAAGUCAGCUGUGAAAUGUCUGGGCUUAACCCGGGCAUGCGGUUGAAACUGAUGUACUGGAGUGCUGUAGAGGCAAGUGGAAUUCCUAGUGUAGCGGUGAAAUGCGUAGAUAUUAGGAGGAACACCGGUGGCGAAGGCGGCUUACUGGACUGUAACUGACGCUGAGUCACGAAAGCGUGGGUAGCAAACAGGAUUAGAUA
rnacentral:rRNA from 1 species